UCGAGCGAGAAGCUACCUAUGAUCCUUCGGGAGAUUAGACUAGUGGACAGCGGCGGACGGGUGAGUAACGCGUAAAUAACCUGCCAUACACACAAGGAUAGCCAUCGGAAACGGUGAUUAAUACUUGAUGAGGCUACAGAUUCGCAUGAAUCAGUAGUUAAAGAAUUUUGGUGUAUGAUGGAUUUGCGUUUGAUUAGCUAGUUGGUAAGGUAAUGGCUUACCAAGGCGAUGAUCAAUAGCCGGCCUGAGAGGGUGAACGGCCACACUGGAACUGAGACACGGUCCAGACUCCUACGGGAGGCAGCAGUGGGGAAUAUUGCACAAUGGAGGAAACUCUGAUGCAGCAACGCCGCGUGAACGAAGAAGGCUUUCGAGUCGUAAAGUUCUGUUAUAGGGGAAGAAGAAGUGACGGUACCCUAUGAGAAAGCCACGGCUAACUCCGUGCCAGCAGCCGCGGUAAGACGGAGGAUGCAAGUGUUAUCCGGAAUCACUGGGCGUAAAGCGUCUGUAGGUGGUUUAAUAAGUCAACUGUUAAAUCUUGAGGCUCAACCUCAAAAUCGCAGUCG
rnacentral:rRNA from 1 species